UUGAUCAAAUUGUACACAAUUAAUUGAAGAUUCAAGCUAAGAGGUCAUCGGGAUGGUAGUGAAUACAAGAGAAACAGUGACUGGUAAAAAUAAGAAUGAAAACAAAUGUUCACCAUCAAGCAGAGAGAGAAGAGGGUGAAGCAUAAUGGACUACAUAAUGCUUCACCGUUGCAAGUCAGUUUCAUUAAGCUAGCUUUAGAGAAUCGGAUUUACGGUCAUUUUUACAAGUUUAAUGUAAAUCCAAAUUGUACAAUAAUUUUGUAACUUUGUUGACCGGAACGCAAAAAAGUCAUUAAACAAGAUAAGGCAAGAAAACAAAACAAAGCCAAAAAUGUAAAACAAAAGACCGUUUUAAGCUAUCAAAAGAUAUGCAAAAAUAGUAGACGCAAUUACCAAUAUAUCGACAAUCGAUUAUACAUUUAGCUUUUUUUCCCUUUUGAUUUCUUGUUUUAUGUUAAUGUUUUUUUGGUAAUAAUUCAGUCACUUAAUCAUGCAAUGUGAAGCCUUAAUUUUCAACUCUAAAACCAAUUAAUUCAACUGAGAUCAUCAUUUUCCAGACGCUACUUUAAGAUGUCUUCAGACCACGGAAUGACAAUCAAUCAAAUUGGUUAUGGACUAUAAAUCGAGAUUAAACUCAUGAUGUUGAUAAUACAGGAAAUUGAUAGAUGACAACAAUCUGUUACCUAUUAAGACAAUUGGUUGACAUUUACCAAACAUUUUUACACUUUACCGGUUGAUUUCCGGUCAACUGCAAGAGUACAGUAGCUUCCUGAUAUCAGUUCUGGUGCAAUUUAUCUAAAAUUAACAACAUCUUGUGAUUAGUCAAAGGAGAAAACUUGUUCUGGUGUAAAAAAUUUUUCGUCUAUCCUCUAAAAUGUAUCCACUUGACUCGCUUUUUUUUGCAUUGUAAUGUGUUGCAAAAAUUUGCCCCAACUACCUACAGAAGUAAUACAUAGAGGAGAAGUUGCUGAUCAAAAAAGGUAACGAAUUGAGAGUAAGAAAAAGGUAGAUCUGAUCCAUUGGAUAAACCGGUUUAUCAAAGCUGAUCAGGUUGAAAGGCAGGUUGAAAUAUUUUGUAAGACUAGAUGAACAGCCAGAGUAAGGUGCCUAUUGCAGAAGCAAAAUGAUGUUCCUUUGGUUGAAAUGAAUCAAUUUUUGGUCAAAGCCAGGAAAAAAAAUCUAGACACAUUGACAUGGCCUCGGAAUAAUCAGGCAAUUUCAGCAGUUAUUUGGUUAUUGUUUUACAUUUUUGGCAUCCACUGCAUAAAUCAUCAGCUAACUCAAACAUCAUAAUCAAGUACUCAAUAUUCAACAGGUGUUGCCGUUGUAAAGCUUUAGAGGAUCAUUUCUGUUAAUCACUGGUCAGUCUGGACCAUUUCAUCAUUCAAUGUUAACAUGGAUGGUAACUUUACAUGCUGAUUCUCAUUGUAUUGCGUAUUGUAGGGAAAAAAUGAGCAUUCCAAAGCCAAGGAAGAAGGAGAAACCAGAAUAAAUAGUGAGAAAAAAACAAGACUCACAGUGUUUAGAGUUACCUGCCUGUCUUCCCUGUAAACAGGAAGAGAAAAAAGGAAAAAGAAAAGAACAGAAGAAGAGGCUAGAAAAAGAAAGAGGGAAAAAAUGAAGAAACCUGAUGAUUGUUGCGAAGCAAGGAAAGUAAGAAAAGUAUAAAGGUGAGUGAGACAGGAAAUCAUCAUGAGCCAGAAUAAUCUGUAAACCGCAUAUUCUCAGGCUAAAUUUAAUGAUCCUUAUCGACAUUUGACUGAAACUUUGUUUGAUAUUCUGAGCUUAUCAUUCAUCAAGAAAAAAAUACAGCUCUUGAUAAUUAUCUCCUUUGCCAUUCAUCAUCAUUACCAUCUCAUUUUUUCAUCCUAGUCAACUUUUACCCUUAAAUUUUUGCCCAUAAUAAUAUACUUAUUGUUUUUUCAACUCUUCAACCAAUUCUCUUAAACAUUAGAUUAAAGCAACUCUUUAUUAUAAAUUAU